UACGGAGGAUCCAAGCGUUAUCCGGAAUCAUUGGGUUUAAAGGGUCCAUAGGCGGUUUGGUAAGUCAGUGGUGAAAGCCCAUCGCUCAACGGUGGAACGGCCAUUGAUACUGCCAGACUUGAAUUAUUAGGAAGUAACUAGAAUAUGUAGUGUAGCGGUGAAAUGCUUAGAGAUUACAUGGAAUACCAAUUGCGAAGGCAGGUUACUACUAAUGGAUUGACGCUGAUGGACGAAAGCGUGGGGUAGCGAACAGGAUUAGA
rnacentral:rRNA from 1 species